CCCAUGGCAUAUGGAAGUUCCCAGGCUAGGGGUCAAAUCCAGGCUACAGCUGCCAGUCUACGCCACAGCCACAGCAAUGAGGGAUCUGACUCAUGUCUGCGACCUACACCAAGGCUCAUGGCAAUGCCAGAACCUUAACCCACUGAUCAAGGCCAGGGAUAGAACCCGCAUCCUCAUGGAUUCUAGUUGGAUUUGUCUCCACUGUGCCACAACGGGACUCCUGGUUGUGUUUUUGAUUAUAAUUCUUUUCUUCGCCACUGAGUCAAAAUUUGAAGACAUAUUAUCCACUUCCAACUGUUUUCUCCAUUUAAUGGGGUAGGUGGAUGGUAAACCUUUUCGUCAACCUUUUUUGUUCAUGUGGCAUGUCUUUCCUUGUUGUUCAGAUAGCUAAAACUAUGUUAAUUAGGUACAAAAUGCUAUUUCCCAGUUUAUAUUGAAUUUUAAAAUAAUCAUUAUUUAAAUAAAAACCAUUUGUUUUAUCCAACUGCAAUAUAAAAAUAUCUGUUAGUACCCAGGCACUAAUUAAACUUCCAAACUGCAUGCCACUGAUACAAUAUCCAAGUGUGCCUUCGGAUUAAAUAUUGGCAAUUGGUUAUUCUGCUCUCUGAAAAAUAACUUUUUCCCUUAUUAUAAAUCAUAAUAUUGCUCUUACUACAUGGCUUCUCCGCAUCUGUAAUGUUUGUUAAUGCAUUUUUAACCUCCAAGGGGAGCCAAAUCCUGGAAACAGUGUGCCUCAGACCACUUUUGGAAGCACCAAUCUGGCCAACAGAUUAUGGCUUCCUUGAGCCUUCUCAGUCCAGAAAACAGCCUUAGGUGGCCAAGGCUGACCACCAGUAAAGAAGAGUCUGUUCCAGGCUUUGAUUGGAUGCAGUCUGUUUCUUCCAUACUCAGGUGAGAAAUGUGCCCCAAGAUAUGUACAGUUCUUUCAGGCAACGUUGGACUGGACUCCAUGCAAUUUAUUCUUCAGAAAAGGCCUAUAGGGAGUCCUGGUCUCUCUGGUUUGUUCUCCCUUUGUGGAUGAACCAAUGGCAAGUUCCCUAAGAGCUGGAGGAAGGGGAAGUGUCUAUGCUCCAAUGUCCUUGGCACCUCAUUCCCCACAUGGUCCAUGGGCCCUGGACGGGCCAGUCAUCAUCCUGGCAGUCCCUCUCCUGCCUUCCUUACCUUCUCCGGUCCCCUCCAUGUGUUGAGCAGACUUUCUUCCUGCUCCUCACCUGCCCAUUUUUGGAGGAUGGGGAGGAGCGAGGUAAGGGCAGAUGAAAUUUUAAGUCCUGCUGAUUAUUGAGUCCCAAUUUUAUGAUUCAUCACAAAGAUCCUCAUGUACAGAGCACAUCUUGUGAUAUACCGAAAACACCUCCAGUUAACCCAGCCCACCCUUCAGCUCUUACUCCUCAGCCAAGGAUGGUAAUCAUUCCACAGUUGCAAACAGAUCAAAUGGAAUCAUCUCUUCCCUCAUUAAAUGAGUUAGUGUGUGUGUGUGUGUGUGUGUGUGUGUGUGUGUGUGUGUGCUGUGUAUAUAAAGAGUUUUAUUAUGACCAACUCUCAUUCCCAUGAGCCAGAGAAGGCUUUGGGGAUGCUUGAAUACACAGUGCACCUCAGCAGAAAACCAGAACAAAAAAAAUCCAAUGAUUAUCUGGGAUUUGUCUCAGAACCAGCAAACACACAAGGGGGUGAUGAUACAUACAUCUUCUGUUUUAAGGUGGAGCUAGAUGUUUCUGAAAAAAAAAAAAAUUGUAUGAGGCAUGCAAGUUUUACAGCUUCUUAGCAAUACCUUGACUUGGAUCUAGUUCUGCGCUUUUGAAUGAAGCUUUUUCAUACUGAAAACAUUGUUUAGCCCUAUUCUGGAAAUGCUAUUUGUAAUAUAAGAAAGUUCACUCUACUUUGCCAGUGACAAGAAUUUUUUGAUGAAUUUAGGUCACUCAUUGACAAAACUUCCUAAUUAACAGUAUUCUAAAGUGUUAGGGAAAUGGAUUGAGACUCCAAUAAAAUCUUAUUUUCAAGUAGUUGUUAAUGCUUCCUUUAGUGGAUGGAUAACUUUUUAUACCUUGGCUUAUUUUUGGCAUUGUGAUAAAAUCCAAUGUAACAGGAAAAAUAAGAUAAAGUUAGUAAAUAAAAAGAAGCUCACUGAAUUUAUUACAAUUAAGACAGACUCUAACCUAACAGCAUGUUAGUCAAGAUAAACUGAGCACAUCAUUCCUUACAGCUUAUGCUAAACUCUUAAAAAUGUUACAUCAGAGACUGUCUGUGAAAAUCAUAAUUAAAUUACAUUUCAUAUUUGUGAAAAGUACACAGAAUAUUCUAAUAUGUUUUCCAGUAAAACCAACAAACUGCAAGCAGGAGCAGAGGAAUUGCUAUCUAAAUAUGUGUUUACUGUCUAGUAGUGUGUUUCCAUUUUUUGUCAUGCUCAUGUCAUAUGGAAGCUCCCAGGCCAGGGAUUGAACCUAUGCCACAGCAGUGACAACACCAGAUCCUUAACCACUAGGCAACCAAGGAACUCCAGCAAUGUGUUUCCAAUAACAUUUAGAAAGACUUCUAGAAAGGAGGGAAUCUGUUUUAUUCAUCAAUAUGUCCUUAGCGUUGAAUACAGUGUCUGACACACAAUAAGUUCUCAAUAAAUAGCAUUUAAAGAAGUUAAUAAGUAAAUGUGAAAUUUCAUGACACUAAGAACACAAUAUGAUGGCAUCUAAAUGAGAGCUUCCAACAGCUUGCCUGUCACAUGAAUGAGUUCUAUAGAGUUUGUCAUCCUGUUCCUGGUCUUGGACUUCAUUUCUGGUGUGUUAUGUUCUUGGCAACAUCCAGAUGAUCAUAUGCAUAUAAGCACCUAUGGAUUUUGGAAGACUGGUUGGGAAGGAACUCUUUGAGAAAUUUUAAAAACGAACCACUAUUGGUGAAAUCAUGUCUAUCAGUAAAUAUUGCUAAAUCAUAUGGGAAUCAAAGGGGAGCAACAUUUUUUUUUUGGGGGGGGGAGUGGAAAUAACACACAUAUGUACAAUAGAGUAAAACAGGUACCGGAGAGUAAAAAUGUAUUUGCCACUCAUCAUGUACACUGCUAUGCAGUGGGAAAGUAGAAACACUAGCCACCUAAAACUCCCAGUUGAAAAAGGAAAAACGGAAGACGUUCGGCAGCUGCUGGUUUACAAUAUCGAUAUGGUGCCCACAUUAUAAACUGAACUGACAGUGGGUAAGUUUUCUUUUUCUUUUUGUCUUUUUAUGGCCACACCCAUGGCCUAUGGAGGUUCCCCGGCUAGGGGUCAAAACGGAGCUGCAGGAGCUGGCCUACGCCACAGCCACAGCAGCACAGAUCCGAGCCACGUUUGUGAACUAUAUCGCAGCUCACAGCAACGCGGGAUCCUUAACCCACUGAGUGAGGCCAGGAUCAAACCUGCAUCCUCAUGGAUACUAGUCGGGUUCAUUAACCGCGGAGCCACAAUGGGAACUCUAGGAAGUUUUCUAAUUAGAUACCACUUUCCAUUUAUUUCUAUAGCUCUGGGUUCUGACUUCAGUAGGAAAGGGGUCUGUGUUCAUUGUCCCCCACAGCUGCCUCUGAAGUGGACAUUAGGGGAUAUGCCCUCAUGAGGGUGGUACAGGUUAUUUUGGGAACAUGUUACUAUCUAUGGAAGAGUGGGAACUCAAGUAUAUUCAACUUUGAAGAAAAAAAAAUGUAGUCCCAGCUUUUGGUGUUCUAAGCAAUACCUAUGCUACGAAAUCUUAAUAAGCUUCUGAUCCUUUUCUAUCAGUUAGCUCCCUGUGCCAAUAUUCACACACAGAGUGUUUUUCUAGAUAGACGUCUCAAAUCUGCUAUAUCUUAGUGCCUCCUUCAACCCCACUGCACCUCUCUCUCUACUUACUGGUCAGCUACUUGGAAGCUACAGACUUAGAAGACCAUAACCUCAACUUGAUCUUCAUCACAAAAUGGAUGCAAGGAGUUCAUAUCUCUUAAAGAUGUUUUUUUCCUUUUGUUUCCUGCAUCCAGGAGCAGUAAGAUUUUCUCAUUCUUCAGUGUUUCAGUGUUCUGGGCUUUCUCCAUUCCCUUUUGGUCUGUUUACAAAAUGGCCAUUUUUUCCCGUGAUCUUUUCUUUUCCCUGUAAUCUCUUGCCAAAUGCCUUUAAUAGUAGCCAAAAAUCACUAAGAGUUUUCAUCUUUCCAACUACUUCUAGAUGCCUAUAAAGAGUAGCACACCUAGCUUCUAUGAGUCUAUAAUGUAAUUGGAGAAGUAGAAUAUAUAGAUUUCACUGUAAUUAAAAACAUUAGUUUCAAUAUUUACAUAUUGUCAUUACAACAUUAGUUUCAAUAUUCACUAAAUGCCUAGUACUUGAUUCAGAAAUUUAGUUCUAUUCCAGUUCAGGGAAGGAAAUAGUCACCAUCUCCAUUCAAACAAUGGAAACCACUGCAGAUUUGUGAGGGAAAGGGCAGCAUAACCAUAAGAGAGUUUUAGAAGACUUCUGGGUAACUAAGCCUUUGAUGUAAGUGAAAAAUGUGAUAUUGAUAGUCUGUAAAUUUAUGCUACACCCCGCCUGGGGCUUUAGCCUCAUUUUGCAAUGAUGUUGGAAUGGAGAAUAUCAACAAUACUUUACAGGCAGAGAUGAUCCAUGCAGUGAUCAGGUUUCUCAUUUAAUCUCUCAUUAGCUAGGAAAUAUCAGAUAGUCUGCUGAGGAAAAAAAAGAAGGCGAUAUUCUUACACCCUGCGUGUGUUUAUAAAUAUCUACUGAUACUUUAAGAUGAACAUUGAAAAUAAUUCACUAAAUGAUAGCUGUAAUGAAGUGUGAAAUAAAUUAUCGUCUUUGUUGGUGAUAAAGAUUAUUGGGCUGGGCAAAAAGCAUAUUUAUCACAUAGCCUUGACAGAACAGACCUGCUAUAAUAAAGGAACUAAAGAACAAACAAGCUGCAAGCCAAACAUAGGAAAUUAAUUUGCUAUUUAAAUCUCCAUGGUAGAUGUGACUAAGACACCUGUCAUCAGGGUCAGAAGGUGCCUUUGAGGACAUUUGGAUUCACAGACAGGAGCUCAGGGAUCCGAUCUAGCAAUGCCAACCUUCAGCUGCUUCCUCGGAGGUAAGGAAGGCACAUUUUAGUGGAGGGGCUUUCUUAGGACUUGGGUCCUAAAUGAGUUCCCGUCGUGGCACAGUGGUUAACGAAUCCGACUGGGAACCAUGAGGUUGAGGGUUCGGUCCCUGCCCUUGCUCAGUGGGUUAACGAUCCGGCGUUGCCGUGAGCUGUGGUGUAGGU
rnacentral:lncRNA from 1 species